rnacentral:lncRNA from 1 species
GUUUAAAUGACCAAACUAUAAUCCUCCAGAUAUUAUGAUUCUUUUUUAAUGGUAAGCCUUUGUAGUAAUGGGCCUGGAUUGUGGAUUUGGUAAAAGGACAAACUAAGCACCAGGUGAAGUACAUCUAUCUGGGUCUGUAAGUUUAGCACUCAUGGGUCUGGAACCUUCAUUUUAGAAAACACUUGAUUUUCAGUUAUAUAAUAGUGAGUGAGCACAGAGAGACCAUUUAGUGGUUAAACAUGCAUGCUGCUCUUGUAGAUGACCAGAGGUCAGUUUCCAGCCCCUAUGGCAGGUGGCUCACAAUGUGAGAGUCCAGUUUCAGUGUAUCUGAUGCCAUCUUCUGGCCUCUACUGGCACCUAGACACAGGAGUACAGACGUACAUUUACACAUAAGAAAUAAAAAAAGUUAAAUCUUAAAACUCUUGGCACAGGGGACUGGAGAGAUGGCCCAGUGCUUAAGAGCAUUGGCUGUUCUUCCAGAGAGCCUGCUUUCAAUUUCCAACACCCGCAUGGUGGCUCCUAGCUGCCAGUAACUCCAGCUCCAGUGGAUUCAACUCUCCUAUCCCGACAUGUGGGCAGAACACCAAUGUACACAAAAAUAAACAAUUGCUUAAAAAAAAGUGACACUGAAAACUUUAUUGGUUUUACAAUCAAUCAUUGGGAUAUGUUGCUUCCUAAUACAUAGGGAAGGGUUCCCUUUUAAAAUAUUAAACCCUUCUAUGUGAUUCUAAUAUAUUAGACAAUCCUGAGCCUAAUAUCUUACCAUAAAGGGAAACUUUACAAAAAUAGACUAAUUGGGUAAAUUAGUAUUGACAGAUACACAUUUAUUCUAUUAAAACAUUUUUUAUGUGUAUAUCAUUGCUUUAUUGCAACUUCGAAGCAUUUUUCCCAUUUUUUCCCCCGAGACAGGGUUUCUCUAUAUAGCCAGGUCUGACUUUGUAGACCAGGCUGGCCUCAAACUCAGAAAUCCACCUGCCUCUGUCUGUCAAGCACUGAGAUUAAAGGUAUGCACCACCACCACCCAGCCCCGUUUUGUUCUUAUGAAAUUAUUUCAAAUUAUGUGUUUUCUUUAUCAAAGAAUCAGAUUACAUUAUUAUAUCAUAAUGAUAACUCUACUUGGCAUAAAAUGAAUUAUUAAAAUAAUUAUUUAAUAUACAAGAUGAGAAAAGGGCUAAGGUAAUAAAAGUGUAGCACGUACUUCUUUAUAGGUGGGGGGAUGUUUCCCAAGGAAGCUGGGUCAGUUAAACUUGGGGAAUGUUUAGGUGAAGUUGAAGUUGAUUGAGUCUCUCCUGUGUAUCCAUCAGCUUUGGCAGAUUUCUGCUUCAAUAACAACUGCCUUAAAUAUUUCAAUGACUGACAACAGACAUGUUCACACAUAUAUGGAGACAUACACACAUCUAUUAUUUAGAUUUUAGGACGAAGCUUGAAGGCGUAGGUUAGAGUUUAGACCCCGAAUCUUGCUCCAGAGAGAAAAGAAGAGCAGAGCCACAUAACUGCUCCCAAAGCUGCCAGUUUAUAAUAAGAUGUGAGACUUCUGUUCCAUUUUGUGUUGACCACAGCAAGUCAGAUGACCAAAACUGAUGUCAGUGCACUGAAUACUAUAACUCUUUCCUGAAGAGAAGCUGCAAAUAUUUGGAACAACUAAACAACACACCCCAUAGUGUUAUUGUGUGAGCUAGAUCGCUGGAAGCUGGGGUAGAAGAAUCAAUCUUAUUGAUCUUGACCCUCAAAAGCAGCCAGUAAGUUUAACAGAAUAGAUUUUAUACACUGUGUUUUGAAGACAACAAAACAUAAAGAUAAAGAC